UACGAAGGGGCUAGCGUUGUUCGGAAUUACUGGGCGUAAAGCGCGUGUAGGCGGGUCUUUAAGUCAGGGGUGAAAUGCCAAGGCUCAACCUUGGAACUGCCUUUGAUACUGGAGACCUUGAGUCCGGGAGAGGUGAGUGGAAUUGCGAGUGUAGAGGUGAAAUUCGUAGAUAUUCGCAAGAACACCAGUGGCGAAGGCGGCUCACUGGCCCGGAACUGACGCUGAGAUGCGAAAGCGUGGGGAGCAAACAGG
rnacentral:rRNA from 1 species